UGGUAAUAUGUGCAUUUCUGUUCUUCAUGAGCCUGGGAAGGAUAAAAGCCAAAAGAAUGCUUGCUCCUGUGCUACACCUUGGAAACCAUAAUUAGUGUCAUUUUUAUUUUGGCCGACCCUAAUAGAGACUCGCCUGCUAAUGUCAAUGCAUGAGAAGAAUGAGGGAAUGACAGAAAUGGAGAAUUCAAAGGGAAGGUUGCCCACUGUUUAAGAAAAAGCCAAGAGACUGCUUUUGAGUGACAUUUAUCCAGCAGUUAGUAACUUAUUUCAGUAUCUCCCAGU
rnacentral:lncRNA from 1 species